GGGCGGUUAGCUCAGCGGGAGAGCACUGCCUUCACACGGCAGGGGUCGCAGGUUCAAUCCCUGCACCGCCCACCA
rnacentral:tRNA from 2 species